AUUGAACGCUGGCGGCAGGCCUAACACAUGCAAGUCGAGCGGUAGCACAGAGAGCUUGCUCUCGGGUGACGAGCGGCGGACGGGUGAGUAAUGUCUGGGAAACUGCCUGAUGGAGGGGGAUAACUACUGGAAACGGUAGCUAAUACCGCAUAACGUCGCAAGACCAAAGUGGGGGACCUUCGGGCCUCAUGCCAUCAGAUGUGCCCAGAUGGGAUUAGCUAGUAGGUGGGGUAACGGCUCACCUAGGCGACGAUCCCUAGCUGGUCUGAGAGGAUGACCAGCCACACUGGAACUGAGACACGGUCCAGACUCCUACGGGAGGCAGCAGUGGGGAAUAUUGCACAAUGGGCGCAAGCCUGAUGCAGCCAUGCCGCGUGUGUGAAGAAGGCCUUCGGGUUGUAAAGCACUUUCAGCGGGGAGGAAGGCGGUGAGGUUAAUAACCUCAUCGAUUGACGUUACCCGCAGAAGAAGCACCGGCUAACUCCGUGCCAGCAGCCGCGGUAAUACGGAGGGUGCAAGCGUUAAUCGGAAUUACUGGGCGUAAAGCGCACGCAGGCGGUCUGUCAAGUCGGAUGUGAAAUCCCCGGGCUCAACCUGGGAACUGCAUUCGAAACUGGCAGGCUAGAGUCUUGUAGAGGGGGGUAGAAUUCCAGGUGUAGCGGUGAAAUGCGUAGAGAUCUGGAGGAAUACCGGUGGCGAAGGCGGCCCCCUGGACAAAGACUGACGCUCAGGUGCGAAAGCGUGGGGAGCAAACAGGAUUAGAUACCCUGGUAGUCCACGCCGUAAACGAUGUCGAUUUGGAGGUUGUGCCCUUGAGGCGUGGCUUCCGGAGCUAACGCGUUAAAUCGACCGCCUGGGGAGUACGGCCGCAAGGUUAAAACUCAAAUGAAUUGACGGGGGCCCGCACAAGCGGUGGAGCAUGUGGUUUAAUUCGAUGCAACGCGAAGAACCUUACCUGGUCUUGACAUCCACAGAACUUUCCAGAGAUGGAUUGGUGCCUUCGGGAACUGUGAGACAGGUGCUGCAUGGCUGUCGUCAGCUCGUGUUGUGAAAUGUUGGGUUAAGUCCCGCAACGAGCGCAACCCUUAUCCUUUGUUGCCAGCGGUUAGGCCGGGAACUCAAAGGAGACUGCCAGUGAUAAACUGGAGGAAGGUGGGGAUGACGUCAAGUCAUCAUGGCCCUUACGACCAGGGCUACACACGUGCUACAAUGGCAUAUACAAAGAGAAGCGACCUCGCGAGAGCAAGCGGACCUCAUAAAGUAUGUCGUAGUCCGGAUUGGAGUCUGCAACUCGACUCCAUGAAGUCGGAAUCGCUAGUAAUCGUAGAUCAGAAUGCUACGGUGAAUACGUUCCCGGGCCUUGUACACACCGCCCGUCACACCAUGGGAGUGGGUUGCAAAAGAAGUAGGUAGCUUAACCUUCGGGAGGGCGCUUACCACUUUGUGAUUCAUGACUGGGGUGA
rnacentral:rRNA from 1 species